rnacentral:lncRNA from 1 species
AAAGUUUUAUUUUGACUAUGUCAUGAAAAAGAAUAUGCAACCCUGAACAUCAUCAUUUACCCUGGAGAUUAAAAUAUAUUUUAAUAUAUUUGAGAUCAUAUUGAAGGUUUUAUGAAAAGUGAAGAAAUACUCUGCAUUGCAUUCAAACUGCAGCAGAAAUUUUAGUAAGCAUUGUGUAUUUUCCAGGUUGGAACUGAUCCAGGAAUCUAAACCUAAUAUUGAGGCUAACUGUAGGGUUUGUAAAAAGGAGGCAUCCUCAGGGGUUCACACUGGUGGUUCUGAGGAAGCUUCCUGUGAAGACAGAUUGUGCCCUCAAGUCCACACAGGCAAAUGCUUCAUCAUUAACUCACUUUGGAAAAAUAAAUAAACUAUUUUAACAGUGAGAUUUAAAAGGUACAGCUAUUGCGUAUAUUUUCUCCCAUAUAUCAUCAAGAAAAUUGUGGAAAAAAAAUUUAGUAAGUUACCUAAAUUCUCACUUUUUCAAAAGCAUCUUGACAGUCAAUGCUAUUUCAAACACUUCACUGACUUUAUGUGAUACAAAGGACUGACAAAUUUAACUAUUAAACAUAAAAGCUUUCGUACCUCAUAAAACAAUUUAAAAGAAGUGAAAAGUAAAAUUAUAGACUGUGA